GGAAAAUCAACAAAUCGCUGUCUAAAAAUUUCUUUACGGUUAUGUUAAUUAUCAUCACCAACUAAAAUGACGAGGACAUUUCAAGGACUUCGAUACGAGCAUUGGCUAUACGACGCAAGGUGCAUGCAAAAGCACAUGGAUCUCCAUUUGAUCGACUUGCUGGAAAGAAAUCAACUGGAUCAAGCACUCGAUUGCAUAGGUAAUCCUCAGAGGUUUUACGCAGACGUGCUCCACCUAUCUAAUCGCUCAAAAGGUCCCCAACAUCGAGGAAGAAUGGGAAACUUUCAGAAAUCAUUUGAGAGAUGCAAUUAACAAAGCGGCAGCAGUCAAAGUCGACAAAAAAAAGCGCAAACUUUUGUCGACCAAUUACGAGAAUUUUUAGAUCGUUACUUGCAGACCAAAACUUUAGGCUCGGCAUUUCUAAUAAAAUGCAGUGGCAAAUACAAAGAAUGCGACAAGGAAGAGAAGAAAGAAUUUCAAGAGGCCUGCUUGAAAACAUUAAUUGAAGUGGUGGAAAAGCAAGAAGCUAUUAAAAAUCAAAGAGAAUUUUCAGAAGAAAUGAGUCCAAAAGUGGUCCAGCAUAUGAAAAAUGUGAACGAUAAAGCAGCACUCCCUCGAUGCGACGCUUCUUGUCGCAUGUGUAAUAGUCUGUGCAUCAAGGCGGCCAAUCACGACACACAAGACAGACCUCAUGAUGCAGUUCAUCAACCAGGGGGAGUUGCAGGAACACAUUAUGUAUACACUGAGGAAUUGGAUCACAAGACAUGCAGUCAAUCUUACGAAGAAGACGACACAUUUCACCUUGACAAUAGGUUUGACUUUCGCUUAUCCCUACAGAGACUAUGCCAAGGUCUAUCCUGGAUGGAAAAAUCCUAGCAUCAACGAGGAAUUGCCAUUGCGCCAAUACAUUUUAGCAACUUACAACAACGAAAUUGCCAAAAAAUACAACGUGAAACCUUUGACGCAUAUCCCCUCAAGCUACUCUUCAAGAACUCUGUCCUCCAUGAAGAAACAACUGAAAAAGGAAAUUGCGGAACAUUUAAUUGGCGGAAAAAUUAAAUUUUUAAAAUAUCAAAUAGAAUCUAAUAACCAAUGACUUUCACUUGUAGCUGAGUUAGUUACACUUGAGCAUUAUUCAAGUAUUUGUUCUUGAUUAAACUUUUGUUGUAAUAAACUGAUCGUUGGUUGAA